UAGGCGUAAAUGAUGCGAGUUAAGUGGUGGGGGCAUCUACGAGAUGGCCCUGUGCUGUAGGGUAGCCGUUAAACUCGCUGCCUGGGGAGUACGGUCGCAAGGCUGAAAACUUAAAAGGAAUUGGGCGGGGGAGCACCACAAGAGGUGGAGGCUGCGGUUCAAUUGGACUCAACGCCGGAAAACUCAUCGGGAGCGACAGCAGUAUGAUUGCCAGGUUGAUGACCUUGCUUGACAAGCUGAGAGGUGGUGCAUGGCGUAGACGUCU
rnacentral:rRNA from 1 species